rfam:Cavia porcellus supercont2_5 genomic scaffold, whole genome shotgun sequence.
GGAGUUGUAGCUCAGUGGUAGAACAUUUACCUAGCAUGCACAAGGCCCUGGGUUCAAUCCCUAGCAACACCA